rnacentral:rRNA from 1 species
AUUGAACGCUGGCGGCAGGCUUAACACAUGCAAGUCGAGCGGGGGAGGUUGCUUCCGUAACUGACCUAGCGGCGGACGGGUGAGCAAUGCUUAGGAAUCUGCCUAUUAGUUGGGGACAACAUUCCGAAAGGGAUGCUAAUACCGCAUACGCCCUACGGGGGAAAGCAGGGGAUCUUCGGACCUUGCGCUAAUAGAUGAGCCUAAGUCGGAUUAGCUAGGUGGUGGGGUAAAGGCCUACCAAGGCGACGAUCUGAAGCGGGGCUGAGAGGAUGAUCCGCCACACUGGGACUGAGACACGGCCCAGACUCCUACGGGAGGCAGCAGUGGGGAAUAUUGGACAAUGGGCGGAAGCCUGAUCCAGCCAUGCCGCGUGUGUGAAGAAGGCCUUUUGGUUGUAAAGCACUUUAAGCGAGGAGGAGGCUCUUAAGGUUAAUACCCUUGAUGAGUGGACGUUACUCGCAGAAUAAGCACCGGCUAACUCUGUGCCAGCCGCCGCAGUAA